AUUUCCUCACCUUCCUCGCCCAGCAACAACCAUUAUCAAGAAUGUGGUACAGGGUCAGCAUGACUCACAAAGAUUCUUUCCCUCUAAGAGGUACUGAGCCUAUAGAAAUACUCUGAAUGUGAGUGAGUCAACUGAAUUUUAAGGCUGUCGGUGGAACCAUGGGGCUGAGUCACGUCUGCCCACAGCUGCUGCUGUUCGUAUCCCUGGGCACUGAGGCCUGAAACUCCACCCUGGCAGGGACCAGCCCGACCCCCCUGGAGGAAAUGGCUGGGCAGUUUCAGCAGCAGCAGAUGAAAACUUCCUUCCUCUUCAUCCAGCUGCGGGCUCCUCCAGCCUGCACUCUCCCCGCCCCGUCUCCAGCGGCAACCCCAGGGGGCCUGGAGGAGGGACACAGUUUCCCAAGUCCCAGGACAGGCCUCUUGGCAGGCUGGGACCUCAGGCGCACACAGGGCUCAGCUGCCCCUCCUUUGAGGCUGCUGCAGAAGGCAGGCCCUGAGACGGAGGAAUCAGCUGCUUUCACUUGCUCCGCUCCAAAGGAAAAGAAGGAAGGGAGGAAAAAAUCCCAGGAUCUGGACGUAAGCAGGGGUGGUGAUUGCAGAUCCCCACAUCACAGGCAUUGCCAGGCCCCUGCCUCCAAGACACUGGGCUGGCUACAGCCCCUGGCAUGGAGGCUUCCUAGCCCAGCUCCCAUCAUGAGUGAUGAAAGCAGCAGUCCCUCCAUGGGCUGGAAGCACUGGCCAGUCACUUCUGCCACCCAGGAUCUGUGGGGCAUGGACCCCCGAUGCAGGGAUGCCUUGGGA
rnacentral:lncRNA from 1 species